GUCCCCAUAGCUCAACGGACAGAGCAGAGGUUUCCUAAACCUCCGAUGGAGGUUCAAUUCCUCCUGGGGACA
rnacentral:tRNA from 1 species